GGACACUGGAAUUUCCCAAUGAGUGUUUCCAAAGGAAAGAGAAGAUAACAUUCCUUCAGCUCUGGAACAGAUUUAUUUUUGCCUUGCUGUAAGCAUGGAAGAGGACAUUAGAAUAUGAAGACAAUGAAAAUUUUCAGAAUCCUAUCCGUGACAGUAAGGUUCACGGUACAGGAGAUCUUAAGACUGGCCCUAACUUUCAUGUGGAGGAACAGUGAGUGGUGCUGUAUACAUCAUUCUGCAUAAAAGACACUUGCAGCUGUAUACAAAUAUUUAUGCUACUUCCUACAGCUCAUACCAAGUUUACGAAUCAGAUAUAGUCCCUUCA